UAACGUGGCCACCUGUGAGGCUGCCCUUCUGAUCACCAAGAGUGAGAGCAGUGCUAGUGGUUGAGAAGUGUUGUGAAACUUUCGCAGGACAGCUGUGGAGAAAUAGAAGUUUCCAAAAACAUCCAUUACUAUAAGAGGCAAUGCUCCACUCUGCUCCUGCACCCACCCUUACAGGACUUUCCUGCGCGCCACGGUAGAAAGGAUUCCAGCAGCCCUGUCUCUGUUAUGCACACGACACUCUUCAUCACGUACCAGGAUGAGGCUGAAGCACAGCCCAGGAGGAGGAGUUCUACCUCAAGCCCGCGGAACCUGCAUCCUCUUGCCUCCCCCAAGCCUUUCCUGUUGAUUGAAUGACCUAAUAUCUGUUAUGCCUUACUUGUCUGAGUUAGGACAUCUCUGCUGCUGGUCAAUAUUGUGCUGAAGUGUUUCAUGACAAUUUGUUAACGAACGCUGCUCUAGCCCAGCAUUGACUCCAGUCAACAGGAACAGGAUAGCAGCUUUAUUCUCCUGUCAAUAUGUGGGUGUAUGCAGGAAUCAGGUCAGGUUCUCCACAUUACUGAGUUAUGAGAAAGGAGCGCGUUUUCAGUGGCUGUGAUGUGUUAGCUGGAGAUCAGCUGAUUACGCCUUUGCAUAUCUUCCUUCUGGGUCUGAGCCUGAAGGAAGAAUCCAUAUGUGCACACGCUGUUUUCUGGGCUGGAGAAAAAGAACAAUGGUGGUGUCACGUGACUGCUCACCACCCUUCUCCCUGGAACUGCAGUCCUUUCAUUCGGGCUCAGAACUUGCCGCUUCUCAUGCUGGCGAAUCUGGGAGCAGAUCAUCUGUGCCUUCAUUGGGAAGAGGGAGGCAUCUCCAUGUUAUGAGGAAGAAGUUUCCCGGACACGCCGUUGGAAAAGUGGUUGCCUUUGCUUUGUUGGCUUCGGGUCUGUCAGAUGUUUGGUUGUGUAAAAUUGCAAGUUAGUCUGACUAAAUUGGACAGAUUGCUAGCUGAACCACAUGAAACUGCCAAUAUGCCAGCGCUUUUGGAGCCACGAAGGCGGCGGGGACUUCGCAGAGUGGAAGAUGAACCAGUUAGAAUGAAGUGGCAAAUUGGGAAAAGUCUCAUGCGAAAAAAUGCAAAUUAUUUGACCAAGUCAGCUCCAACUCGCUAACACACAACAGGGCAGAGUGUGUAUCCAAGCUGCAACAUAAUUCUUUGUAACAUGGAGGGUAAUUAGCAUAUUAAAUGAGAAGUUAAUAUUUUGGAAUACUGGAACAGAAUUUUCCACUUCUAAUAGGAAAAAACAAAGUAUAACGGAGAAGCACGCACGGAUGUUAAUGUGCCAAGAUUCUCUGUGUGUAGUGGCUGUGACCACCAUUUGGCAUAUGCAAUGUUCAGAUAUUUAGUAAAAACUCUGUUUCCCUCUCUCUCUGUGCAUUUGUCUCUGUCUCUCUCUCCACUCCUUACCCUCUGCUUCUCUCAUCUUUCAUGAUCAGACUUCUGAAAAACCCUCGGUCAUUUUGGCCACAUUCUCUCUUAUUCAUUGUGUCCCCUGUGAUCUGGUUUCUGUUCUCAACACUACCGAAACUGUAUUUUUUUUUUUAACCAAGGCCACUAAUGACCUUGAUUGAAACAUUCAAAGGAAGCCUUUUCUGCUGUUAUCUUGCUUAACUUCCUUGCCACGCUGGAUAGGACGGGCUGUGACCCACUUCUCAAUAUUUCAUCUCUUUCCCUGACUUUGUAUGCUCUGUUUCUUGUGGCUGAUGAAUGGCCCGCAAUCCAGGUUAGCCUUGGUGAGACACAGAACAAGCCUGUGUUUUGGUCACUGUGUAUCUCAGAGUCCGGUUGGGUACAGACACGGAAAUGUCCUUAUCUCUUAUUUGUGGCAUAAACGGAAGAAUGGACUGGAGGAUUUGCAGCAUUUUGCUAAUUAUUAGUCAUUGCAAAUACUUCUCUCUUUGGCUCAGGCCCUGCUUCCAAAAGUUCCCUACUGAUCACAGCAUUUACAUUUCUGCGAAUGUCUAGCUGGGAGGAGGCCACAUCCUUCACGCUUUCAUUCCUGAUGCUGCUCAAUAGUUGAGUGUGCCUGGUGGCUUCUUCUCCCACGACUUCUUGGAAUUCUGAGCAGACAUACUGCAUCAUCUGUCUUGUUUUUAGUAACUCCUGCCUCACAAGGGAAAAGAAGACGAAUGUCCUUUCUCUCCCCAGGAUGUAUCGCUUAGAGAGCCACCAAAAAGCGUCCCAUAAAGCCACCACUUGUUGCUCACUCAGACAUCUGACCUGACAAAGGGCAAAACAACCACAGUAAAGCCUCGUGGCGAACAAAAGGAGCCCAGCAACAUAGCCUGUGGCCCACGUGUGUGCUUUAUGCAAGUGUAAUUUCUGUUGUUUUUGGUUGGAAAACAGCUGCAGGUGUCCUCUAAUUAUAACCCCAUUUUCACAAAUAUCAACUGUCAUAUUUAAUCUGUUAUACUCACCAUAUAGCCCACUGUUGCGGCACAUUUCUUUCAUUAUACAUUUAGUAGCAGAAUUUCAAAUGCUAGAGCUAACAUCCAGGCUAGUCAAUUAAUGCAUUAUUUACAAGUUAAAUGUUAUUAAAAACAGGUUCUUAAUUUGCUAAUGAUUUAGUAGACCCAAGGCAAUAUUCCAAUUUUUUUUUUCAGUUGAAAAUGGAAGAAGGUUUAGCAGAGUUGAAUAGGAGGGGGUGUAAGGGGUAUUUUGGCUCCCACACCAUUGGAAUUUCUUUCUGGCUUUUUUCUUUAUUGUGUGUUGGUUUUGAGGCCUCUGUUAGUGUGUCCUACUGGAGAGGAAAGACCUAACACAGCACAAGAGCAGCACAGAUGCUGUUGUGAAGGGUUUUGGAAAAGUCACCAGGCAGUUUGUCAGGACUCUGUACAGUUCAGUGUGUUUUAAUAAGCCUCCCCCAGAGCUGCACAGCAGGGCGGAGAAGGGUAGAAGUCAAGGAGAUGAAGUACCCUUCGCAUCUCACCACUGCCAUGUGGCAGAAACAGAAUACAUGUCUUUAAAUAUGCUGUGAAGAUUUCCUUUCUGAGGUUCUGGGCUCUUGGAAUAAUUACCACAUUCUGGAUUGUAGUUUUUUUGUUUUAGUUUUUCUCUUCAAUAUCAUUUGACAUAGAUUGUUCUUAAUUCAUGCCUUUCAACUCUAUUGCUCCACAGAAGAUUACUGACGUAUGGAAGAGGACCUGGGAGACUUCUGGGGGGUGGAAAAAUACUCAGGUACCAUGGAUCCAGUUGUGCCCCACACAACCAUCUCCCCUGAACUUCUCUUGGCCAGGACUCUACCCUUUAAACCCCUUACUUACCUCCUCAGUUUUCUUUCAAUUUCUCAAAAAUUUAAGAUCUCAAAGUUGAAUGAAAUCAUGUUAAUACUAAGUCUCUUCCACAACUAUCAUCCUAUUCUCUUAGAUAGAGUAAUUUAUUGUGUAGAUUUAAGGUCUCCAUACAGCAGGAUGCUUUGAUAUACAAAUACAUACUGAAGUGGUCCCCGGAGUCAAGCAAAUGAACAUGUCCAUGUCUCACAUUAUUCUUUCUUUCUCCUUUCUCCCCUUUCCUCCCCCCUUUUUCUUCCACUGUGAUAAUAAUUUUUAAAAUCUAUUUUCUUGUUCUAAUUCUUCUCUGAAUUUGUCAUUGGUUUUGUUUUUGAGACUGAUCUUACUAUGUAGCCAGUCUUAAACUCACAAUUUUCCUGCCUCAGCCUCAAGAGCUCUGAGAUUUACAGGAAAGAGUAGAAUAACCUGUCCUGUCUACAGCCUUCCUCUGGAGUGAUAGCAAGAAAGAAACCUGUGCUAGCCUGUGGAUGGAGCUAUAAUCACAACUGCAACUAAUUCUAGUUAGAAAACUGGAAGGCAUGGGCUUUGGGUGUGAUCGUCUAGGUAGAGUUACUAGCUGUUCAAAAAGAGCCUUGAUGGUGGGUCUUUGUCUACAGAGUCUAUGCAAGCAUGCUUUAUCCAUAAACCCUUCAUUUUCUAGCUUCUCUCCUUGUCUUUUGUUAUGAGCUCUUCUUUUUCAUCUCAGUGUCUCACAUGGAAAGGGACUCUUUAUUCUAGAAGACACCGAACACACUUUAUAUUAUUUGAUUCUUAUCCAGUCUUGACCAUUAAACAAUUACAUUUUUUUUCAUAGCCCUUCAGUUGUGUUCAUAGUGUUGGGGCUCAAAAUCAGCCCCUGCCAUCCUCAAUGAGGUUAACUGCCUCUCUGGGCUGGUGACUCUACAGAGAUUCUCGCCACUGCACCCUUCUGGUCAGCACAGGAUCAGAUUGCCCUUCGUUCAGAAACUUAGCUCUGUGUGGUCAGAAGACAACUCCAUUGGGAGAAGCUGCCCUCAGUGGUCUAAUGUAUAAAAGGAAUCUGCCUGCCGUAGCUUGACUUAGCUCCUUUGUUUCACUCUUGGCUGUGUGGAUUUCUCAUUGCUAACUUAAAAGUAAUCAUUGUGAUUUGAAUGUGAACUGGCUCCACUGUGUCGUAUAUUUUAACACCAUGUCUCCAGCUGAUGGACGUUUUGGGAGGCAUGGAACCUUUAGGUCAUAGGGACUGGCUGGCAGAUAUAAGCCACUAGGGGGCCAGGCUUUCUAGAGUUAUAGUCAACCUGUCCUUGGGUCCUGUUCUCUUCUCUGCUUCCUGAGCCACCAAAUUGUGAGGAGCUCUUGGCACAGUGGAUAACAGUGGAAGACACUCUUCCCCAUCAUGCCAGGGUUGGAUAGCAGUUGCCUCUGAACUGCAACAAUCCUGCCUCUCAGCAUCAUCAUUAAGACUCAGGGAGUUCUAAAGGGAAGGUGGCAAGGACUUAGGAAUUAAGCAACUCAAAAGUCUCAGGAAAUCCCUGAAACUCACUACAUGCAUAAGGUCUCUGCCCUCCCUAGGUAAUGUGAGCAGGCAACGGUGCUGAAAAGGCCUGAACAGCUGUCUGCAAAUCCUGCAGAGAAACUCAGGGUUCCAACUUUGUUUACAUGUCAGUCUUGUUGGGUGGGCCUUUUGGGGUUUGGGUUGCCUUUGAGUCAUUGCUCACCUAUGUGUAACCCUCCACUUAUAUUUUCAGAAGUACUCCAGUAAACUCAUUGGUUCACCAAGUUGGACUUUGGUGUAAAUAGUUACUUUGGUCUGUUGUCUAGUUCCCUAUCUAGGCUGAAUAGAUAUAUAUGUCAUAUCUCCCCAGGAAAAAUAGUACAUAUCAGGUAGAUGAUUAUGUCUUGAAACCGUGGGACAAAAUAGAUACAUUCCUUAUUUAAGUUGUUUCUGUCAGGGAUUUGUCAAAAAACACAUAAUAUAAAAAUAUUAAGUUAAAAAAAUCUUUUGUAAUAAAUGUUAUAUUUAUUGUUAAGAAUGUGCUAAAGUAGCUAUUUCCAAAACCUUCUUUUUUGAGAAAACUGGUGAAAUUUUGUCUAAUCUUCCUGGUCCAUUCCUCUCUCCCUACUGGGCCUUUCCUUCCUAUCGGAACAUCCUCCACGCUUCUGAAUCUAUGCAACUCCUUUGCUCAGUGAUGGGGGUGGGAGUGGGAGGGGACCACAGAUCCUCUCCUCUGCGCGAUGACUUUCACUGUAGAGUUUAUGGCACAGGUUCAGAGUUUCUUUCGGGUUUGGAGUUGAAAACUUUGAAGUUUUACAAAUGUUAAACCCAGUAUUCUAGAGAACACAUAAGGGGAGCUAGUGUGCUUUGGAUGGAUGGCUUUAACUUUGAUAAAUCACACAGGACAAAUGUCCACAUAAGGCUGUUCCUCCUGACAUAGAGUUGGACAGUGCUGAGGAUUGUUGAAGGUGUGUGUGUGUGUGUGUGUGUGUGUGAGUGUGUGCUAUACAAAGCACUCCAACUAAGAUGUUUUAAUCUUUGCUGUGUAAGGUAGGUAUCUUCUAAUUACUGUUUCAUGCUUUUACUCUCUGCUUCACCUCCAAAACACCUCACUCACUUUGUAAUUAUUUAAUAAAUUAGUAGUCACAAUUUGUUUAAUAUGCAAGAAUUAAAAAAAAAACCCUGGAACCAAGCAGACCUGCCUAUAAUUCCUGUCUCCUAAUGACAUGUGUUCUGUGGCCCUGAGCAGGUGUCUUAAAUGGCUGUGAAGUCUGAGCAAGAACAGCAUUGUUCUUGCAAGGUUCUUUGGAGUUUUAAGGUUUCCCUAUGUUGUGCUUGAAUAAAGUCAUUGCUUCAUGUCUGUUA